CAGAGUGUAGCCAAGCAGAACCGCAUCUCCCUUACACUGAGAAAACACCCGUGCAAAUCGGGUCACCCUGA
rnacentral:tRNA from 1 species